rnacentral:rRNA from 1 species
GUGGGGAAUCUUGCGCAAUGGGCGAAAGCCUGACGCAGCCAUGCCGCGUGAAUGAUGAAGGUCUUAGGAUUGUAAAAUUCUUUCACCGGGGACGAUAAUGACGGUACCCGGAGAAGAAGCUCCGGCUAACUUCGUGCCAGCAGCCGCGGUAAUACGAAGGGGGCUAGCGUUGCUCGGAAUUACUGGGCGUAAAGGGCGCGUAGGCGGACAGCUUAGUCAGAGGUGAAAGCCCAGGGCUCAACCUUGGAAUUGCCUUUGAUACUGGCUGUCUUGAGUUUGGGAGAGGUGAGUGGAACUCCGCGUGUAGAGGUGAAAUUCGUAGAUAUUCGGAAGAACACCAGGCGCGAAGGCGACUCACUGGCCCAAUACUGACGCUGAGGCGCGAAAGCGUGGGGAGCAAACAGGAUUAGAUACCCGAGUAGUCC